UGGGGAAUCUUGCGCAAUGGGCGAAAGCCUGACGCAGCAACGCCGCGUGGGUGAUGAAGGUCUUCGGAUCGUAAAGCCCUGUCGGAGGGGAAGAUGUGGUUUUCGUCUAACAGAUGGAGACUGUGACGGUACCCUCAAAGGAAGCACCGGCUAACUCUGUGCCAGCAGCCGCGGUAAUACAGAGGGUGCAAGCGUUGUUCGGAAUUAUUGGGCGUAAAGGGAGUGUAGGCGGUUUUUUAAGUCUCAUGUGAAAUCUGCGGGCUUAGCCUGACAAAGUGCAUGGGAAACUGGAAAGCUUGAGUGUCGGAGAGGACAGGGGAAUACCCGGUGUAGAGGUGAAAUUCGUAGAGAUCGGGUGGAACACCAGUGGCGAAGGCGCCUGUCUGGCUGACAACUGACGCUGAGACUCGAAAGCAUGGGGAGCAAACAGGAUUAGAUACCCGUGUAGUCC
rnacentral:rRNA from 1 species